GAUGAACGCUGGCGGCGUGCCUAAUACAUGCAAGUCGAGCGAACAGACGAGGAGCUUGCUCCUCUGACGUUAGCGGCGGACGGGUGAGUAACACGUGGAUAACCUACCUAUAAGACUGGGAUAACUACGGGAAACCGGAGCUAAUACCGGAUAAUAUAUUCAACCGCAUGGUUCAAUAGUGAAAGACGGUUUUGCUGUCACUUAUAGAUGAAUCCGCGCCGCAUUAGCUGGUUGGUAAGGUAACGGCUUACCAAGGCAACGAUGCGUAGCCGACCUGAGAGGGUGAUCGGCCACACUGGAACUGAGACACGGUCCAGACUCCUACGGGAGGCAGCAGUAGGGAAUCUUCCGCAAUGGGCGAAAGCCUGACGGAGCAACACCGCGUGAGUGAUGAAGGUCUUCGGGUCGUAAAACUCUGUUAUUAGGGAAGAACAAAUGUGUAAGUAUCUAUGCACGUCUUGACGGUACCUAAUCAGUAAGCCACGGCUAACUACGUG
rnacentral:rRNA from 1 species